CCCUUAGAUGUUCUGGGCCGCACGCGCGCUACACUGACGAAUGCAACGAGCUUAUAACCUUGGCCGAAAGGUCUGGGUAAUCUCCAAAUUUCGUCGUGAUGGGGAUAGAUUAUUGCAAUUAUUAAUCUUCAACGAGGAAUGCCUAGUAAGCGCAAGUCAUCAGCUUGCGUUGAUUACGUCCCUGCCCUUUGUACACACCGCCCGUCGCACCUACCGAUUGAAUGGUCCGGUGAAAUCUCGGGACGGCGGCUUGGUCGCUUGCGUCCGACUGCUGAAACUUGAUUAAACCAUAUCAUUUAGAGGAAGGUGAANUCGUANCA
rnacentral:rRNA from 1 species